rnacentral:rRNA from 1 species
CCCUUAGAUGUUCUGGGCCGCACACGCGCUACACUGAAGGAGGCAGCGUGUACUCCUGGAUCGAAAGAUUUGGGUAACCCGCGAAUCUCCUUCGUGCUAGGGAUUGAGGUUUGCAAUUAUCCUUCAUGAACGAGGAAUUCCCAGUAAGUGCAAGUCAUAAGCUUGCGCUGACUACGUCCCUGCCCUUUGUACACACCGCCCGUCGCUACUACCGAUUGAAUGAUUUAGUGAGGACUUCAGACUGGGACCGAUGCGGCUUUCGGGCUGCGUCGGUAUUCUGGAAAGAUGUCCAAACUGUAUCAUUUAGAGGAAGUAAAANUCGUAACA